AGAAUGCUGUCUGGGCUUGGUGCCAAAGGCUGGUAUUUCACAGCAGCGACCGCCUCACAGACGAUCUGUGGGAAGCAGGAGGGAGACUGUCUCUUAGGGUGCCACUACUAUGGAGACACAGCUGGGCUGAACAAGAUUUGCUUCAAACGACAACAAGAGAGACAGAAAGUAUCUGGUUCAACCGCUGCCCAGGCAGGCAGGCACCAGAAGGGCGCGCCGCCAAUCCGGCCAUGCUCGAAGCCAGCUCAGCCAAUCAGUGACGUCACUGGAGUUUUCCUCAGAUUGCUCAUGGUGCUAUGAAGAGCAGAAUAAGGAAGACUUUCCAAUUGGUACUUCUCUCGGAGCCAAUCCACUACUCUGGAGACCAGAUCUUCAGGAAUUUUACGGGGAUAAUUGUUCCAAGGAAAUUGCAAGUACUCUAUCCACAUGGUUAUUGAUAAAAGAACAACCUCAAAAUAACAAACAGAAUAGGGGUGCUCAUCUCAUUGAAAAUACACCGUGUGAAAAGGUUUUUCUAAACAGUUCGGGAUAAAUGACAGAUGAAUUCUUAAAAGUGUUAUUCUCUGGAAGUAACAGUUAACAGUUGUCCCUAAAGGUUAAUCUGACUAUUUUAGCCAACUACAAGGAAAAGAUGAAUAUGAGAAGUGAAGAAAAUGAACACAGGAGAAAAUCAUCCCAGGUUCGUUUCCUGUUCUAAGGGUGCAAUUCUUCACAGAUCCAUGGAGUUGGAGAGCACAUGCAUGCAUAUAGGUGGAUCAGCAUUAGGUUUUAUUUUCAUGUUCAUGAGCACAUAUAUGUGAAAAGGACGAGAAGCCAGGCUUGCUGGGACUUAGCAGAUGCAGAACAGAGGAUUAGAACUGCUUCGUGCUACCAAGAAAAAUUUUCCAUUAUGAGAACUUACUAUCAUGUGACUUGUGCUCUUUUUACGAGUUGUAAAUCACCGUCUUUGAGCAUAGUGCUCCUACAUGUGGUAGAGGGGUUGUAUGUUUGUGUGGGUAUGCACAUUUGUGUGUACGCUUGCUUCCUUAGUGCUGACUUACAGGGAACACUGAAAAAAGGAGAGAAAAGAAUAUUUGCACCUUUAACUGAGGAACCCUAAAAUAGUUUUAUUGUUAAGUGGGCAUAUAUUUAACUUUUCUUGAAUGGAACUGAAAAGUCAGAAAUCAAAUACAUGUUUCAUCUUAUAAGUCACUUCCCAAUGUGCUCUCCAAAGUGAUUUUACCAUUCACAACCCCCAAAUAUGUUUCAUGUCUACUUAUUCCAUAUCUACACAAACAUUUGAUAUCAUCAGUCAGUUUAAUUGUAAUCUCUUGGAUUGCUAUAUGAUGAUAUUCAUUAUGGAUUUAUGUGCACUUUACUCAUACACUUUUCUUUGCAGGGACUAGGUACAUUGUCUUUUCAUGCACUUAAAGGCCAUUUUUAUGUAUACCUUUAGUGAAAGAUCAGCUUAACUAGAUUGCCUAUUUGAGUUAAUUUACU